ACAUUAAUUUCGAUAGUUUUUUAAUAAUUAUACUCGCAAUAAUAAGCUGGAAGAAAUUAAUUCCUACAAACAAUUUCAAAGAAAUAUCUUCAACCAUUUCGAUGAAACAUUUAAAUGGCCACUCUUCGGCGAUCAAUUCCAUUUAACCGAAACUCAAUAAUCCCAUUAGAUUAAACCACUUCCCCAUUCAUCUCGAUAUUAAUUCAAUUUAAAAUUCAUCCCAUCCACGCCAUAGCGAAGCGUUAAAAUCUAUGAAACCCGAGUUUCCGUCGAAAAUCAUCGACUGGAAAACGGAAUUUUCCUUUCCGCUUGCCGUUCCGCUUGAAAUUUAUCAUUGGAUGGAUACUUAACCAAUUUACGAUCCGGCAAAUUUACACCGCGAUUCGUCACGUCCGCCGCGAAUUUCGAUAAACCGGUCAGCUUAUAAAAGCCGACUGAAACGAUGCGCGGCCGAUAAUGUAGCGUCAGCCAUGCACCGUACCGCGUUUUGGUUAAGCGUGAUCACGCUCGCGAUCCUCUUGUUUUGGGCUGUGGAGCGUGGAAACACCACUUCGGAUCCCGAUCCCCGGAAUAUAAUUUACAUCAUCACCCACGGGAGAAGGAAACACAAAGGGAAGAUCAUUGAGAUCCACAGGCAUCGUCCGAAGCACAAGCUGAACAUCAUACUCGUCAAUUCGUGAAUAGAUCUCGAACGAAAUUUUUUUAAAGUGACGGAGAACCGGAAACGUUUCUUUUUUGAGAAUAAGAUCGGAGAACUGAGGAAAUAACGAGUGCACAAUGGGCAAUUGUAAAAUUGAGACUAUAAUAUAGUUAUGUAAAAAUUUGAUGCUUCAUCGUUAAAUGCAUGCAAAUGUUUAAUGUUAAAAAUGAAUAUUCGUAUACGUUUAUAUGUAAUCCUUAUUUCUUAUGAAGAUUAAUGAAUACGUUUUGUUUCACGCGAUAUUUCGUGCUUAAACGCACAAGUUUGCACGUUUCGUAUAACUUACAGGUCGGUCUUUGUCGAGCGACAUCAUGCUUAACGACACUCGUAAGUUAGGCGUUUAUUAUGGAAUUAUAUGCAAUUCUAACGGUAUGUAGGCGAUCGUCCCACCAUGGCAGGAACUUAACUAUCGUGCAGAGUGAUAAAUAUUACAGUUAUUACGCAUAUGUAUAUGCAACAGUUGUUAAACAAGGGAACAAGAACUAGAAGAGCAAGAUAUUGCAAGAGUGAAUUCAAACGUUUCUUACUUGGAUUUAAAAUAUUCAAAGAAUAUUCUCGAAAUCUUAAUAUUUUUCAAACGAUAAGUAUUUAAAUCAUGAGAAUCGAAAUGCAAUGGCAAUCGAUUAAUCAUCAAUUCCUCUUGGCAAACUUUCAAUUCCUGAUCCUGUGCUUUGUAUCCCAUUGUACACUCCUUCACGAUUUCACUUUCGUUCACGAGGGAUAUGGUUUCUGCUUGAAGAGCUAGUCACGAGGGAAAGACAGAGAGAGAUAGAGGGUUUUGUUUUGAGCUGAAUAUCUAAGAGGCGCAAAAGAGGUAUAAUGUGCAGUCAAGCUGUUCAACAAUUAAUUGCACGGACAGAAUAUAGUCGUAAGAUAUAUAGACGUAGAAUGUAGAAGACUAAUAGUAGCUCUAUUUUUCUAUUUUUUUAUAUUUAUCCAUAGCUUCGACAUUAUCCAUGAUCAAUCAUAGACAAUAUGCAAUAUAAUGGGACAGAAAAAUUUCAAGUCUUAUUCCACUAUUUUCGCACUUGACAUUGUCUAAAAACCUCAGUUAUGUUCACAGCAUAACCAUGAGUAAUAGAAAAUGUUAAAAUCCCUAAAA